CAAAGUUUUGGGAGUAAUCAUUCUGCUCUCCUCUCGAAGGAGCUUUGCCAGGGGGUCCAUUAGUUCUAGGAGGAACCCAACCUCCAGGGGAUUUUUCCUGUGAUUGUCCACGCCCCAUAGGUGCAAUAGGGUUAAAGUUUGGUGCAGGUAUAUUUGGUGGUGCUCCUCUUAUAGGACCAGGUUGGCUGAAAUACAUAGGUGGAUUUGGUGGAGUCCCCAUAUUUGCGGGAAACCUAGGCGCAGAGGGCCCUGGAGGAACAGGUGAGAGAACAGGUGGGACAGCUAGCAUGUUCAUUUCAACACCUCGAGGACCAGACCAAACAACUGGAGGCUGGAAUGGUGGAAUAAAGACACCAGGAGAAAUUGGAGGACCUGGUGCUGGUGACAUGCUAGGAGUUAUAGAUUGCAUCGGUCCAGGUGGUGGCAUUCCAAGUGGCCCGAAAGGCGAUCCCAUCAAUGGCAUUGGAAGCCCAACCUGUUGACCAUCUCUGCCCAUUGGUCUACCCCUACCUCCUCGUCCAACUCUAUUCCCUUUAACUCCUUGUGGUGCAGAUCUCGUAAAGGAAGAGGACUCCUGGUUUCCAUGCAUCAUUUGUGAGCCAACACUAGAACUUUGGCCCCCAGAAGCACGGUUAGACAUACCACCCCUCUGGCCUCUUGCUCUUGCAAAGUCAUUGUCAUCCCUCCAUAAAUUCUGGUCUUGCCCAGAAAAGCCCCCAUCUGUGAAUCUAUCCUUUGAAUCCUCACCAGAUUGCAUAGAUGCAUAUGAAUUCCUAGAUCUUUCCUCCCUAGAAUAAGCAUUCUCCUCACCAUUUGGAGCCAAUGUAUCAGAUUGCUGACCCAGUUCAUUGCUUCUGGAAAGGAGGGAUUUAGAUUCCUCCCUUCCAUAAUCGAAUGGUUUGGUUUGGAUCUCUAUGACAUCAUAAUUCUCAUUCGAAAUUCCAUACUUGGAAGAGGUUUUCACUGCUUCAGUCCUGCUUCCGUCUUUCCUACCACCAGAACGACCUUGAGGCCUAUCAUGGUCAAUCCGACCACGUCUAGGAAAAUCCCACUCUCUACCAUGAUCAUAAGCUGUAUCAAUAUCCCUUAUUUCCUUUUCAGUGCUAUUAGGUUGCCUUCUUUUCCAAGCAUCUCUAGAGCCCUCGCGAUCCCUGCUCCUAUCAGUCCAACUUUCAUCUCUUCCUUUAGACCUAUCAUCUCUAUAGUUAUCUCUCUCUUGUUCCUUCCUCCUAAAAGAAGUGCUUCGCUCAUAAUCCAUAUCAAAGUUGUCUGGUUCAUAUUGACGUCUUCCACUCCGCUCAGGUGUCCUUGACCUGUUGGAAGUAUCUAUUUCCCUCCUGUUCUUGUCUCUCAUCCAUGCAUUGCCAUCCUCAUCUGCGUUUAAAGACCUCUCACGACUGUCAACAAUUUCCCUACCAGCCGGAUUUCUUGGGUGUCUAUGCUCCUCAUUUCUCUCCUUGCUCGACCGCAUCGACGAGCUUCCUUUCAGGUCCUCCUCUAAAACUUCCAACCUGUCCCUCUUAUUCCUUUCAAACUCAGAUCUUCUGUCCUCCUUAUCCUGAGCUUUAAUGCCUUUGUCACCGUCUGAGUCAAAUUCUCUGAUUUUGCUCUCACUCAGAUCAAAUUUCAUGCUAUCACUUCUGUCUCUAACAAUCUCAAUCCUAGACUCAGUCAGCUUCCCACUUCUUAUAUCAGAUUUUUCAGUGUAGUUUCCAUCUUCAUCUUUCCAGAAGACAUCUGAGUCAUCCCACUUUCUCCUUGAGUUUUUCCCAUGCUCAGAAGAACCAUGACCCUUCUCUCUACUACUUUCCCUUCUUUCAGAAAAUCUAGAUUCUCUAUCUAGCGCCUUUUCAGGGUUACCAUCUAACACUGCUUCAUCUUUGUCUUUAGCUCUGACCUGGGAGAUCUCAUGAUCUGAGAACUUUGAAGUCAAUCUCUUUCUUUCACUGUCAUCAACUCGACCAUGUCCUUUAUAUCCACUGUCAUACUUGAUUUCACCUUCUCCUUCUUCAUACCAAUUGCUCAGUUUCUCCAAUGUGUUGUCCUCUAUUUUCUUCUUCAUAUGCCGAGUACGUGACUCCUUCCUUGUUUCAUAGUCAUCCUCAUCACUAUCAGCUCUGCUUGAACCACCUGAUCUCUUUCGGCUCUCAGUUCUGUCCCCGGCACUUUUCUUUCUACCACCACUAUCUAUUCCCUCAGCAUCUUCCAAAGUUCCAGGCUUUCUUGACUUGCUUGACCUGUGCUUUCUCUUAUCAUCACCUUCCCAGUCAUCAUCUUCCCUGAACCUGUCCGUCUUUACAUCUGGAUCAACCUCUAUGUCCUUCUUUCCUGAACUUCUUACUCGUUCAGGAGAGCCCAUUAGGAAAAGAGACCCUCAGAAGUGAAUCCUCCCCAACUGUAUCAUUAACCUAGAAGCAGCAUCUAGAAGAAGUCAAAGAAAACCACAUGGAGAUUGAUAAUAUUUUUAACCAAUGCACAAUCUCAAUUCUCCGAAAGAUCAAAGCAAUCUUGGACAUGAAAUUCAUCAUUAAAAUAGGGAUUCAAACAUAGUAUUUUGCUACAAUUUUACAAUCUACAACUAAUAAUCCAAGUAAAUCUGCAUUUAACGGGCCAUGGCACAGCCAGAAAAGUAUAGAUAUCCUAUGAAGUAGUCCAGAAAAACAUUAAAAAAAGCACCGCUGCAUUAUUAACUUCAUUGUCCUAUUCACAUGUCUAUACCAGCUUUUGCUUCAACCUCAAACCCAAAUGUCUUAUUUGUUGGGGGACUUACGUAAAAGAAACUUUACUUGUGCCAUUUGUAGCUUUAACUGUCAAAGAAUUUAAUUAACAUACUUUUGCAGAAAUCAUUUGUUAGUGCAGCCGAGCUGAUUGAAUGGGUAUUACGCAUCACAGCCAAUAAUGAUGGUAGCUUUCAAGCAAGCAUAUAUUAAAUAUUGUUUCUUAUUCUAAAUUUCUUAUCAAACAGCUCUCCUCUUUUUGCAUUGUUUUGUUUUGUGGUUUGGAUCUAUUUUGCAUAUAAAAAGAAGCAGAUUCUUCUAAAGUUGGGCUACUGAUGAAGAAUUUACUAGCUAAUGUAGUACCUAGUAAGUUCACAAUCUUUCAUGAUGAUAGGUAUAACUAGUAUCACAAUUAUGACUAGUAUCUUUCAUAAUCUUUCAUUGUCAGAAUUAUGACUAGUAUCUUUCUCAUUCAUAAGAAGGCACCACAGGAUCUGACAAAAUUCAGUUAAAUUUUUUGAAAACUUAAACACAAAGUAACCUAAGCAAAUGAGUCCAGAAAAACAUCUAGUUACUUUCACAAAAACCGACACAAAUCCACCAUCACAACAUAAGAAUGCAGGAAGUUCAUCUGGGAAAAUCAAGAUACUGAUCCCCUUAAAACUUCCUAGAUCGUGUACAUUAAAAAGUUUCUCUGAAGUUCAUACUCGAUGACAUCAACAGAAAGACACAACAAAAGAAAGGAUUACCCAAUAAAAGGCAACAGUUUAUAACUGAAACACUAGCAAAAUCAGUAGGAUGAUCUUCUUACUCUUUUACACUAUAAAUUUCACUAAGGGAGGUAGUUAUCACGUAUUUUGAGCUGUAGGACAGAUAAGAACUUGCUAAAAACGAGCUCAUACAGUACAAAUAGAAGUCUUACAGCAAUACUCCAGUCUCAGACCAUUACAUGAACCUCAUAGAAAAUAAAAGGAAUCGAAAGUUUAAAUACCAUUACCUGAAGUAUUCCAUUGAGAAACCCAUAUCACAGCUCAACCAUAAAAAAUUCAAAAUUUACCAAAGUAAAUGAAAUUCACAUCAAGUUCCUGAAGAACGAGCAAGAUAUAAAAGUCCAAGUAUUAGAGGAGGCCGUCACAAUGCAACCUAAAAAUAGGCAACUGAUUAAUUCAAGAAAGCAAGAAGAAAUCAGCCCAAUUCCCCAGUAAAAAACAGUUUUCUCUUAAACCCGCCCAACUCAAACAGCAUCAUUAUCCCGUAAAAGUUCAAAAAAGCACAACCCAGUUUCGGUUUGGACGAAAGAUCAGAAUUCAUGUAGCCAAUUCGAUAAAUGCAUAGACGUACACAUAGAUGCUGAAUAGUUUUGCAGAAAGAAUUGAACUUCAAAAAAAAGAGUUAUUGAAAAACCUUGAUAGCUAAACCACCCGGCUCCGGCGUCGGUGGCGUCAGGCGACCUUUUGGCAGCGUCCCUUUACUCGAAGGUAGAAAAGGCCGACAACGGAGAAACAGGGCUGAAGAGAAGGGGUUCGAGUAAGGCAGUUUGAGGAGUUUUAACGGUAGUCGGUGCUUCGGACCUAGGUUUGAGAGACAAGGGCAUCGGCGCUAAUACAAACAUUAGAACCAUGGGAAAAAAUAGAACUAAAAGGAUAUUACAUUAUUUCCCCAGAUUUUAUACUAAAUUACGAAUUGAACCUUUACUUUAGUUCAAAGGCAUAAUUUCAGAAACUUCCCUUGAGAUUUUUUACAAUUUCACUGUCAUUCCCUAAGAUUUUUAAAAUUUUAUUUACCUCCCCUCGCAGUCAUUUGGGAUCGAACGCUUACAUCACUAAUAGGUUAAAUGACUCUAUUACCUUUAUAAUUUAGAAUAAUUACACGUAUAUAUGUGAAGGAAAAGAGUUAAGUGUUUGCUAACUACAUUAAAAAUAGAAACAAUUAGGUGCAUUAAAAAUAGAGCCAAUAUUAGGUGCAUCUUUUUAAUUUUUAUAUAGAAACAAUUAAUCCGUUUACAAAUUAAAUUAACCAUAAUUUGAAAUGUAAAAAAGAAAAUCUAAUUUUGGCAUCUAAAAAGGGAUCCAAGACUAGGCAUCCUUUUUCUAAUUUAUGUACUUGAUAAAUAAAAGGAAUCAAAUAUAAGAGAUUUCAGUUGGGUUAAUUUUUCUUAUAAUUGUGGUGAUAGCAAGAAUCAUAAGGUAUGAAAAAAAUUAUUUUAUUAAAUUUUGAAAGUUGUUAUUUUUAUUAUGGAUGAUGGAAUUUUUUUUUAUUAACCAUGUGUAAUGGCCUCAUAAGUAAAUUAACAAAUUAGAUCAAAUAUUUAAUCUUACUAGUAUAAAAGUUGGGAGGCAUUUUUGGCAUAAAUAAAUCAUCUCACAGCUGAAAUAAAUUUUUAUUGUUGCUUUUUUUGAAUUGGGCUAAAUCGUUGCCAGAAAAUUGAUUUCAAGAGAUCAGAAAUUUUAGGAGAGGGUUUUCAAAUCAUCCCUAGUUCAAAUUGAAAUGUUAUAAAGAGAAAAAUUAUGGUAAAAGCAAAAAUUUAUGUGAGCGAGGGCGAACAACAACUCUAGUGCAAUGUGAUGUUUUACUUUUUGACUUGAAAUGUAAGCAAGUAUAUUUAAAUAAGGGUCUUACUCAGAAUUAUAAUUCCAAUGUUACAUUGUUACAAGGGAAUACAAGGAUUUGCUAAUCAAAUUUAAGCAAAAUUUGUCCUCUCGCUUAGUUCAAUUACUCUCAAAACAGAUAAGCCACCUAAUUUUUACGUGCAUUGAGUGUAAUUCACAUCUUCACGUGAGUUAAUUUGAUUAAUGGACCACCUAGCUACCCCUUCAAGGGUUCAAGGAAGCCUUCGUUCUUCAUAGCAUUUGGACUUCCAACCUCUGGAAUUUGAACAUCUUUCACUUUCGAUCAAAUGGGGAUCCAAGAAAAGUAAUUCUACUCUCAGCAGGAAGCCAUCGUAUUCCAUAGCAUUUGGACUUUCAACAUCCAGAACUGAACAUCUUUCAUUUUCCUUCACAUGGGGCUCCAAGAAAAGUACUACUUAACACCUACCUUAGCACUUCAGCCGGGGUUUACCAGUUUGUGAACCAAAUCGAAUUCACUCUGGUCAAACCCCAAUACCACUCCGCAUGAUUUCUAGAUUCAUGUCAAUCUCAAAGUUUCAGAAGUCUUCUCCUCUCAAGUCUGUUUGUGGAUUAGACAGGAAAGAGCACAGAGUCUGAACAGCCACCGUAGGAAAGAGAUGUCGGUAUGGAAAUAAUUUGACUAUGCUUUCUGUUUUUCGUGUUAAGCUCUUGAGUCUAUAAAAUCGAAGUUGGAAAGACGACCCCCCCCCCCCCUUUCUACUAUCAAAACCAGAGCCUACAAUUAAAACGUUUGUCAACUUUAAUGCAUUAUUGACUACAGCUGCAAAUUAUUGGUCAUAAAUGAGGUUCAAGGUUAGGAUUGCUUGCAGUCCUCCUCCUUAUAAAGCAAAAGAGGGUAUGCAGUUUUUUUCCAAGCUGGCCAUUUUCCUUUUCCCAUUUUGAGAAAUCUUGAUCGAAUUUGAUUGGAUAUCUACUCCCUCGCUUUUGUUCUCCGAAGUCAAUCUGCUGAAAUACCUGCUGAGUGCUGGCUGCUGCAGAUUUCGUCCAAUCUGCAAAUUCUUCGAGGUCAAAACUUAUUGCUGUAAAUUGUUUACACAAGUAAGGUACUGGUUUUAUAAACAUCUUUAAUAUUACCAUCAUUAUAGCUUCCAUUAAGGCAUUAAACCCUUGACUUUGACAGAAUCGACCAUCUGUGGACUAUACAAUCCAUAUAAUGUGGGACAGUGUUCAUACUAACGUAAAAUUCUGCUACCUAUGGCCACUAAUCAGGUCCUGCUUUUACUUCAUUAUUUUACAAAAGACUCUGUUUGAUAACUCAAUUCAGCACUUAAAUUUAAUGAAUUCAUAUUUUAACAUGUUUAAACCGUUUAAUAAUAAAAAAUUGAACAUCUGAAUUAAUUAAGUGACACUGAAUUUUAUAGGCAAAACUUAUUCCCAAAACUAAAUGAUAUGCUAUUUACUUUUCACUGAAUGUGAUAUGCAUUCAAAUAUAUUAGAUUUAAUACUUUACAGUUCAAUAAAUUAAUGAAUUUAAAUUUCAGAUUUCAGUUUUAUCAAAUGCAUCCUAAAUUUGAACGAAGCAUUAUUGUCAGCAAAAAACAACUGAUUUGAUCAGCAUCACAAUUCGACCCACGAUAGGAGUGAAAUCUCAUCAAAUUCAAGCCUUCCAUUCUCCCGUUGAGUUGAAAACUGCAAUUUGCUCAUGCCCUAAAAGAAGAUGUCUUCUUCCUUGUCCAUCAAGUGUAUAAGAAACACAGCUGAACCUCAAAGGAAAAAUUAGUAAUAUUAUCAAAAUCGAGCUGCUUCUCAGGAAAUAAUAAUUUGUAUGUCGUAAAGAAUCUAUUUACACCAAAACUAACCAAUGUUUCUAUACCUUAAUUCCUCGAAAAACCUAUAGCAAAUAAAACAAGAUAUCUUCUCAGUCAAAAAAAAAAAAAAGAAAAAGAAGAGGAGACAUUCAGUCACCGGGGUGCAAGAGACAGCGAAAAGUCGACGGGCAGCCCGCCCAUCUUCUCGACCCAAGUUUGUGAAUCCAAAUACAAUUGGGAUAUGCAAGCAAAAACCCGACCCAUAUCCGGCCUCUUAUUCGGAUCAUCCGCAACACAUUCCAACGACAACCUUGUCAAUUUUUCCACAACCUCCACCGGAUAAGAAUCUUUCAUCCGCUUAUCCACCCACUUCCUCACCCCUCCGCCACCUUCCUCCAGCGCCUCCUUGGCCGCCUCGAUCACCGAAUCCCUCACAUAGCCUCUCAUUUCCUCAUCAAACCUAUACUUCAACGCCUCCUGCCCCGAAAGCAGCUCCAAAAUCACCACCCCGAAUGCAUAAACAUCAGACUUUUCGGUAGCCACCCCGGUGUCUCGAUACUCCGGCGCCAUAUACCCUCUAGUCCCCUCUAACUUCAUCCGCCCGCUCCCCGAUCUUUUGUACUCCAUUUUACCCUUACUCUUCGUCGACCCCAGCUUAUCGUUGUCCUCGUCAUCCCUGUCCAUUGUUAUCUCCCCGCAGAGGUCGGCCGUCCCGAAAUGGCAUAUUUUUGCAUCCAAAGUGGGUGUAAUGAUAAUGCUCGAGGCCUUAAUAUGGUUGUGGAUAAAAUUGAAACCCAACCCAGUUGAAUGGUGGAUGUAAUCGAGCCCAUGAGCAAUGUCACCGGCAAUCUUCACGCGGGACAGCCAAUCAGAAAGCACUGUAAAAUGAGGGUUUUUGGGGUUUCUUAAACAGUCGGCGAGGUUUCCACCUUGGAUGUAGUCGUAGACUAGAUAAAUAUAAUUCCCAGAAAUCGAGGCGCCCUUGAGCCGAACCAAGCUAGAAUGGUGGCUCCGGCAUAUUAAUGCUAAGCGGUCGACGAGUUCUGAGACGUUCAUGGGGCGGCGAAACUUGCGUUGGAUUAAUAUGACGUUCUGGCCGCGAAUAGUGCAGCGCCAGGAGGUGGAGGAGGAGGAAGAGUUGAAGGGUUUUAGCUUGAAGUUGUUGGUUGCGGCGGAGAUCUCGGAUAUGUCGUAGACGUGGGUUCGUUCGGGAAGAUUAUCGCGGAGUCGGGUUAAGGGAGGAUUCCCGGAGCUGGAAUUGGAGGUGGUCAGCCAUGAAUCUCGGUUGUAGUAGCUGGAUCCGGUGCUGGGGAUGGAUUUGUCGUAAUUGCUGAGGGACGAUGAAGGUUCUGCAAACGAGGAGGAGGAGGAUUUGUGGGAUGACUUGUUUGAUCGCUGAGAAGAUGAAUUUCUGGGCAUGGUGGAGGGCUCAAUCACAUCCUGGCUUAGUUGCUUCUUCGAUUUACACAUGAAGAGGAGGAACUAGAGAUCAAAUAUGUAGUAUAUUUAUUGAUUCCUAUGGUUUUAUUAUACCUAGUAACAAGAGGGAAGUUUUGCAUGGAUUUAUCUUGAAACUGAGAAAGAUGAUUGAAGCUUCGAGGUGGAGGAGAUGAUGAUGAGCUGCUGGAGGUGGAGACGGGUCCUAAUUGGCUUUUCGUAUGGGGCACUGGGGAUGGAUAAUUUGAGCCGGUGAAGGUGAUGAUUGUUUGAUUAGAUUACGAGAAUUCAAGUUUGUAAUCUCUUUCAUUUGCCCUCGAGAAUUUGGAGAUUUUGGAGUUGGAUUAGACAGAAUUGGGUUAGAUUUUGAUCAUCCAAGACAGAAGGAAGAAGAAAGAAAGGAAACGUAGAAAUGUUUUGUGGGGCGAAGGCAGAAAAGGGCGAGAGAGCCGUGCGGGCUAAUUUGGUGGUUUUGAGUGAAGUCCUUUUCAUGUCAGGGUGUUGGAUGUUGAGCGUCUUUGAGACUUGGGGAUUUGUUCAAAUAAGGUUGGAUCAUGUAAUUUGACCAUAAUGCGGAUGUUGGGACAUGGGAUUUAUUUUUUAUUAUCAUUCAAAUAAGUUGGUUGUCAGUUGAUUAGGAUUUAUGAAGUCUUUUUCAUUUCUGGUUUUCUGCACGAAGGUUUUUAAGUGUUCAACUUUUUCGAAAAUAAUUGUAUAUAAGUUAAACAGAUUUUUUUUUUCGUAGAAAUAAUAAUGAAUGCUUUACUGGAAUUGAUAGCUGCGCUGUUUCUCAAAAAAUUUCAGCAUGUCAUCAGGUCAAAGAAUAAUUCAAAUGACAAAACAUUUGCACUUGCAGGUCUUCGUCUUAUUCCUCGUAGAAAAUAAGCAAACAAAAAGAAACACUUAACAUAUGAAAAAAAAAGGAAAAAAAAAAAGGAUCAAUCUGGGGAAUUGUAGCUGUACCAGAAGGAACCAGGUUGCGUCAGCCCAGCUUAUGCUCACCUACAGAUUUCUAACUAAAACUCAUCACAUUAUAAUUUGCUUUCAAAUAAAGAGCAAUUAUAAUUGUCAAAAUGUGAGUCUAAAAAAUAAAGUUUAUUUUUAGUGGAAUGUUCCAAAAGUUUGCUCCAACUUACUUAUUGUGAUGCAGUAGAGAUUUUUCUUACUGUACUGUAUGGACAAACAACGGUAAAUAAUUCAAAAACCAAACACAUGAGAAUUGAGAAAUGUAAAACAAUGUUAAUAUAAAUGAUAUAUGCUUCACAAAGUUCAAAUAACACGUUAGUAUUAUAAUUACAGACACAUAAAAUUUUUCCACUAUUUUUUUAUCAAACGAGACAUCAUCAUGUAAAAAUUUCCAUCCUACAAAUUCACAACAAAACUUGUAAGAAAUUCGAAUGGAAGGCUGUCCAAUGCAUAGAAACGGCACAAAAAUUUAGUACCAAAGAUUUACUAAAAAGUGCAAUAUUCAAUUAUGCAUUGAAAAGGAACUAAAACAUCAUAGUUGCAAAAUACAAAUUUUGUAUUUAGAUUCAAGAUAAACCUCACAUAAGGAGAAUCAAAUUUUAGAACUAAAUAAUGGAAGGCUAAAUGAAUAUCAAGGAGAUCAAGCAAAAAUAAAUAAAUACACCAUGGUAACAGGACAAAGAGGCAAAAAAAAGAAAAAUGAUAAAGGCUAAAUAAAAUACAAUUAACGAAAAGAACUUAAAGUCCAUAUUUGGUAGCGUGAAAUGGGAAAAAAAAGGAAUAAAAAUAAAAUGGAACAUACCACACAGUAGGAGUAGCAGAGAUAAAAGGUUUAUUGCCUAUGUUUCCCCUAAAAAAAAGGGAUGAUAAUGAAUCAUGAUUUUUGAACAAAGAAAGAAAAGAAAUAUGCAUUCUCAUACAAGAAAAACAUGCAUUCAGUUAAUUAUAAAAGAAAAAAGAAAGGAUGUAUUGAUUGAGUGGAAGGAGGAAAGGUAGAGAAAAAGUAGGAUGAAGGAAAAAAAAAGGAGAAAAGCAAAAUAUUGGAUUAAAGAUUUAAAAUUAAUAGAGGAAGAAGUAAUAGUAUAAAUCAGUUGAUUGUUGCGUGGUCCAUAAUAAUCACCUAAAAAAAUAGAAAGAAAAUAAUCUGAGUAUAAUUAAUUAUAAAGAAAAAAUUUGAAAGGGCAAAAAGAAAGAUGAAGAAAAUAUAGGGAGAUGAGGAUUAAAGGCAGAGGUAGAAAAAGAAAGAAGAAAAGAAUUGGGAGAAGUAAUGUUUAUAAUUUUUGGCUAAUCAAAGAAAAAAAAAUAGUGGAGCGAAAAUUCAACUAAGAAUGGAAACUGACAAUUGUAAAAAAUAUAAAUAAUACAUGUAUCAAAAGCAUGGGUUGUUGUAGUAACUUAACUUUCUUCUUAUGUGCUUAUACUAGGGGAAUUAGGCUGUAUAAGGCACAACAUUGGCCCUUCAAAAUACUCUUAUUUAUGUCUCUAUUACUACAAAUUUCACAUUUUAUGAUCCAAAGACUGCAUCAUCAAUAAGCUCACAUACCAUUCCUAAUCACAUAACAAAGACAUAAUUACAUAAGUAUAGGUUAAUAACAGAAUUACGUAACUAUCAAGUAAAUCUAGAAGCAACUAUAUUUUGGACUAUUCUGAGUCCAACCAAAAGGAAUAAAUGGAGUGAAAAAGAAAUGAGAGACGUGCCCCUUAUCAAGAAAAGAAAUAUUAUAUGUGUCAAGAAGAGAGGCUGUUACAACUUACAAUACCUUACCUUAUCUUUUUAUUAUACUCGAGGGAUGCAAGGCAGGCAUGUAUAUGUUACUAUAAUAAUCUCACAGUUUUUAAAAUAAAACAUAUUCUUUUAAAAAAAAAAAUCUUUUCGAAGCUCACAAAAGUAAUAAUUGUACCUUUAGUACUAGGUUUUUAAUGCAUGUAUUUUUCUUCUUCCGGCCUCUUUUUUUAAGUUUUAAUAGCUACUGAGAACUGCGAAAAUAACCAGUCAAAUAAACACGAAUGUGUUGGAUUGAACUAACUAGUUUUCGCCCCCGUGUGAAUGGUCCAACCGUAGUGCCUCUCACCGGUGACCCUUGAGAUCCCAAGUUCGAAUCUCCGCUCUACUGGAUUUCUGCGCGCACUUAUCGUAUUCGGGUUGGGUUGGGGCGCCGGGUCCGAGCCGCAGGGGAUUAGUCGGGCCCGUAAGGAUUGACCCGAACACCCUGUGUUGAAAAAAAAAAAAAAAAAAAAACUAACUAACUAACUAGUUUUCAAAGUAGUCCAUAUGCCGAUACCUUAGAUAGAGACACUUGAGAAAGAAAACCUUAAAAGAAGGUAAAAUUGAUUGGAAAGAAAACAGCAUUACUUUAUUAUGAAUGUUUGGCAGUCCCGUUGAGAUACCAAAGUCAUGGGAUAGUUAGUGGGAUUGGCAGAAACCUACCCCCCACCAGAAACUCCACCAAGCAGCAAACCAUCAAAAUGGCAGAAAACUUUCCCCUCGACAAGAUACACCAAGGAAACUGCUCGACUAUGGGAGUAUUUCUAAGCAAUAUCCUACACUUUUUUCAGUACUUUUUUGGCUGAGAAAGAGAGCUGAGUACUUGCAAUUCCAAAACAUAACUUGAAGAAGGAACUGAAAUACUUGAUGAGAGGCCUUGGCAUCUUUGCAUUAGCUCUUCUUGUUAUUGUGCUCAGUCUUGGUUUUUGUCGGACUUGUACCAGAAACUUGUCUACCUCAUAAUUUGUCAGCCUGACUUAAAAGGUUAUACCAAAGCUGUACGCUUCAUAAUUAGUCAGUCAGGUAAAUGGUCCCUCAGAUGGACAAAGAACCAAACCAAUGGAAUUUGGAGAAGAUAUUGUAGCACACGGCAGAUGACCUUUGCAAAAUUUGUAAAGUAAAUGGAAUGCGGCUUAAACAGUCUCUUUAGACUUCUCUUCUUUAUAAUGAUAGGAUAGUUUAGAUUAUACAAAUAUUAUCGUUGUAGUAAAAAAAAAAAAAGAAAAGAAAUGCGGCUUAACCCUUCUUGAGAUGCUAAAACAUGAAUCAUGUUUUGCUACUUCCUGAAGCAAGCAUAGUUCAUCUCUUGAGAGAAAUUUUAAAUAGAAAUUGUAGGCAUCCUCAUGCUUGAAAGUGAUGUAUAUUUACCUAAAAUUACUAAGAAGUUAAAACAAUCGCUUGAUUUAAGAAUUUAAAGCUAGAGUCCGCAUGAGUCAAUGAAUUACAUUUGAUUAAUUUGCCAUACUUUUGUAUAUAUAGCACGAUUUUAUUUGCUGACUCAUGAUAAUGGAUAUCACACCAUGAAGUAAAUCGAGGAUUGAAAAUAUAUCCAUGCAUUAAUGAAGUCUAUAUUAUGGCUCUUAAGCCGAGUGUCGACACACUUAAAUUAUUCAUUUAGAAAAUAUAUAUUAUCCAAAUAAAAUCUAUAAGUCUCAUUAACUAAAGGAAAAGAAAAGGGGUUUCAACAAUUUAAGGACGUAAUUUCAAGCCCUUGAUAUUAUCUUGAAACAUUUAUUACAAGCGUAUACUUUGCUUUUAAAUUUACUAAAGUUUCUUGAUAAAUAGCUUAAUUGUUAAAAAUGUAGGGCCUGUUUGGAAGCUAGUUUUUUGGCCAAAUUUUUUACCUACAAGUUUUUUAACAACUUUUGCUAUAGGAACCCCAAAAAAUCUUCUCAAAGUUUUUUACCUACACACUUCAAAAUACCCAAAACACAAAAAAAAAAAAAUUUCAACACAAAAAAAAUUCCCUUCCCUUUUUUUCUUCUUCCACCCCCAUCCCAACCCGCCACCACCGCCGAUGUCGACCACCACCGCCGUUUCGUCCCCCAUCGUGCGGAGAUACGCACGGCUUGUUGAUGGCUAUGGAGAAGGCGCACGCUGGGGAAAAGGCAGGGGGGAGGGGUCGGGCUGGGGAAAGGGUGGGAGGUGGCGCCUGGGUCGGGCUGGAGAAAAGGUAGAGGGGGUGGCGGGGGGAGGGGGUCGCUGGCAGAGAGGGGUGGCGGGGAGAGGGGGUCGGGCUGGGGCAGGAGGUGGCGGGGGGAGGGGGUCAUCAAGUUGGGGAAAGGGCAGGGGGAGUGGCAGGAGGAGGGGGUGGCGGGGGAGGGAGUGGGAAGGCAGAGGGAAGGAGAAGGGGAAAGGGUAGAGGGGGUGGCGAGGGGAGAAAGGGCAGAGGGUGGCGGGGAGGGGGUCGCUGGCAGGAGGGGUGGCGGGGAGAGGGGGUCGCGCUGGGGCAGGGUGGCGGGGGGGUCGGGGGCAAAGGGGGGUGGCGGGGGAGGGAGUGGGAGGGCAGAGGGGAGGAGAAGGGGAAAGGGUGGAAAGGGGUGGCGGGAGAGGGGGUCGGUGCUGGGAGGGAAUGGGGAGGCUACACAGAACGAAGAAGAAGAAAAAGGAAGAAGAAGAGAAGAGAGAAAAGAAAAGAAAAAGGAAAGAAAGAAAAAGAAAAAGAAAAAGAAAGAGAAAGAGAAAGAGAAAAAGAAAGAAAAAAAAAGACAAGGAAUCAAAAAAGUUUUUCAUUUUACAAAAACUCCUACAAAAUUUUUCACCUUACAAAAACUUCUACAAAAAAAAUUUUCACCCUACAAAAACUUCUACAAAAUUUUUUCAAAAACUUCUACAGUGCACUACAGUAAAGUUUUAGACAAACUCCCAAAAAACUCGGAUUCCAAACAGGCCGUAAUAUAGGGAUAAAGUGGCAAAGAUUUGAGAAUGACCAAAAAAGUUAGUCAUUAGAAUGAUAUUGGAGAAGACGUGAAGGGCCUCCGUGUAAUUAACUCAGAAUUAAAGCAGCUACAGGUUUAUGUCAUGUCAUCUCAAGAAAAAGGGUUUAUGGUUUAGGGUUUAUGCCCGCCGGUCAGCCGAGUAACAACAGAGUCCAAUUGGAAAUCAGGCUAGUCUUUUUGGCUUUCCGUCGGCCGUUCUUCCGCCGAGAUGGAGGAGGACGAAGGCGAUAACAAACCAAAAACUCUAGAAUUCGUGAAUGCGGCAUCUCACCAGGCCAAGCUUAAAGAACUUUUGCGGAACUUAACUUCUACGCAAUCAAAACUCUGUUCAGACGCCUCAAAGGAAUUCAUAAAGAUCCUCAAAUCCGAUUCUGGACCACAAUUUCUCACCUUUUACAUCCAAUCAUCACCAAAAUGCGUCGAAGUCCAACAAGCUUGGGAGCUCCGACAAGGCAAGCCCGGAUUUUCCCACUGUUUGAAAUUAGUUUCGGCAAUUUUCAGAUAUCCUUUUGGAAAAGAUAGUGAUAAAGAUGUCAGUAAUUAUAGUUUUGUUAGUAGCGCUUUAGAUAAGUUUGCGCGAGUAAUUACUGAGGGAAAAAUGGGGGAUUUGUACGAGGAGUUGAACAGUAAAGUGGCGAAAAGGCAGAAAGCUGUCUUGUUGUUGUUGGCUUCUAUAGUUAGGCGUGGGCCGGGUUUGGCGUGGGAGGUGGCAAAGGGUUUUGAUUUUAAAACUGGGAAUUUCUCCAAGCUUGCUGAGUGGAAGGCGAGGGGGAAUGAGGGGAUGAGGAGGUAUUUGACGAGGAAGGAAUUUGUUGGUUUUGCUAUGUCAUUUUUGGAAGUGGGGAAUCCGCGGCUGUUGAGAGGGAUUUUGCAGCAGAAGGAUAUGUAUUCAGGGGUGCUUCGUGGGUUGGGAAAUGAUGAUGAGGAGAUUGUGGUUUAUGUUCUUCUGACGUUGCGGAAUAGAGUACUUGUCCCGGAGUCGUUGGUGCCUCCGGGCCUAAGAAGCGUGUUGUUUGGGAGUGCUACUCUGGAGCAAUUGAUAAGCAUUUCAGGGAGGCAGGAUGGUGGGCUUGCUGCUGAGGUGGCGCAUAGUGUGCUAGUAAUGGUGUGUACGGAUCCUUCUAACGGGUUGAUGCCAGAUUUAGAGAGGCAGCCUAAUCCUUUGAAGGGAAAUGUGAAGCGAUUAGUGGAUCUUAUGAAGAAGCUCAAACCCACAGAGGUUGAGUACCACAAAGACCUGCUUUUGGCCAUUGUAAAAGGGAGGCCGGCCUUUGGGUCAGCAUACUUGGAGAACUUCCCUCAUAAUCUUGAAGACCUGGCAUCACCUAACUGGUUAGAUAUUUGGCUUUUUUACUUGACUUUGGGUAUUUGAUUUAUUUCCUUUGUUGCGACUGAAAUAGUUGCAGGUUUUCUGCUAUUUCUCUGGCUGCAGAUGUCAUGUCCUCAGUUGGUGAUGGAUUUACAUGUGCCUAUGUUAACUCUCAGUCUCAGGAGCCCCCAUCCAUUGACAAUCUGAUAGUCCAAGACAUUAUGAAGUGCAUAGGGCCACGCCCAUUCACCCGAUUGGUAAUGAAUAAAGGGUUGCUUCACUCUGAUCCUCUUGUGAAACAUGUAACUCUGAGGCUUGUAUCGGAGGAACUAAAGCUUCUCGACUUUUUAAUUGGCUCUGUAAAUGAUCUGUCCAGUUCCAGUGAUCAAGUGAUGCAUAAGUGGGCAUCUUUCAAGCGAGAUGUUCAGAAUGUAGUCCAGAUUUUACUUCCUGAUCCCCAGGUGCUAUUAUCACUACUUUCUUCACUCAGUGGCUACUGCAAGAGUCCUGCAUCAAGAAUGAAGAGGGCUGCAGAUGUAGAUGUUACAGUCGAGCAUAAUUUGCACAAGAAGAAGAAGUUGAAGAUGAAUAGCGUGGAUGAGGACAUGGAUAUUCUCGUCAGUGGGGUUAGUUCAACCACUGAAGGGGCUUUGACUGAGAAUGAUGGAGUGUCAGAAGAGGAUGUUGAGGAUCAGCUGAAUAGUGGAGUUGACCUCCUGAAACCUGUUCUAGAAAUUUGGGGUUUGCAGGGAUGCUCCAGUGUAGAUAUCAGAACUGAAGAUGGGGACACAUACUUUUACUCAAAGUUGCUUGAUGUUCUCAGAAUUUAUCAUGUAAGAUACUCAUUUAUUGUUGCUUUUAGUGGAACAGUAAAGGAAUCCACUAUUCACAUAAUACGUACUUACCAAUGUCUCACAUUAGGAAACAUGUUCUGUUGUUUAAUAUUCACAAAAGUUAUCAAGUCCUUAAAAUGCCUUUGAAUGCUGCUAAACAAUCAAUACAAUCCCUAAUGUCCUGGCUGCAAGUAGUGCCUCUUAGGCAAAGAAGUUCUAUAUGGAAAAUCUUGGAUCUGCAUGAUCAUGAGAGAUAAGAUAAGCAUCUUUCAUGACACAGCAAGAGCACAAAAUGAGGAUGAAAUGCCUUUAUAUGAUUGUUAAAUGAGUCUGUUGCUUGACCGGAGUUGAAAUACCUAGCUAAUGAAGUUCAGUUUUUAAAUGUUUGAAUAAAAGUUUCAAAUAGAUUUAGAUGAGUACAGAAAUUAAACAGCUUCCUCAACUUAAAAUUAAAAAGGCUGAACCUACAGCAUGAAUAUCCUGAGAGCAUCUGCCCUGCUUUGUUACAUUACUUACUCAAUGUAAAUGACAUCAUAACCAUUACAAUGAUUUUUGGACAAGUUAACUCUUAGGAAAAGGCUGACAAUGAAUUGCUGAAUAAACAGCCAUAUGCCCUGAGUCAACUGCAUGCAUUAACAUCAGUUUAUGCAUAAUUUAGCGACAAACAACUAUACUUAAUUGUGAAAUUAAUUAUGUAAUUGCUGGAAUGAUACUACCUUUUGUAGUGAGCUCAAAUUUAGGAAAAUGGAAUUUGAUGUAGCAUUAGCUCAUGCUAUGGCAUUAUAGGAGAACUCUGAAGUAAUUGUUUGAAACUUACUAGACAGAAGAGUAAGAUGGCAUUUCUGAGCAUCUACAGUCUUCGACCUCUGUUUGCCACAUUUAGAUGGUUGUUUGUGGCAGAAGGGAUCUAGGUCUACCACUCCAAGCUGUGGCUCAUUCACUAUGAUCCCUUGUUCUUGAGAAGCCGAGUGUGUUUGGACAGGAGAUUAUUUGCUCAAAUAUAUUUGUUUACAUCACCAUUACAAUUUCCAAUACACCUUUUUAUCUUCUUAAUUACCUUUUUAUCUCACAUGCAUCACAUCACAAAAAAAUAAAAGUAUCUCAAUUAAUUUACAAUCCAAACACACUGCAUGUCUCUUUAUGAUUGAAAGUCUUACUGGAAGAAAAGGGAUAAACCACCCUUCCAAUUCCCAUAGGCUCUCACUACCCCUCUCUGGAAAAAGUGAAAAGAAGUGAGUUUAGGUCUGUUCCUAAUUAUUGGUGCUGUCUUUCUCUUAUGCAGCGGACUCUGCCUACUGCUGUGGAAGGAUCAUUUGACUUCUUUAAAGUUCUCCCAAGCAAUCCUUUAGCACUACCUACAAUUUUGCAGCAGUCUAUGCUGUCACUGCUUGUAGAACAAGUUGUUGGGUCCAACAAGUCUCAGAUUUCCAUCAGAACCCAACCAUUGAUGUACAAGUAUCUUCAUUCAUUUAUCAAUUUGUUUAUGUAUUCACCAAUAAGAGACAUAAAAGAUCAGGCUUACUCUUUAGCACAAGCAGCCAUGUUGAGUACAGGUGCAUUUGACAGAAAUCCAAGGGAAAUUUCUGCUUGGUUUCUAUUUAUACCUGGCUAUACCAGUGUGGUUAUUGAUGGUCAAAAACAUGGGAUUGAAGUAUUCCAAAAGUUGUCUUCAGUUGUCAUCUCUUUUCUUUGCGAUGCAGUUUCUACUACUGGGAACAACUUGUUCAAAUAUUUGGAUCUCUUAAGGGGCUAUAUCCGUGAUUUAGAGGUUUCUACAGGUAAUUCACAUUAUAUUUGUUUUAUUUCCAGUUUGGAUGUAGUCUGGGUUAUUGCGAUAGUUACCUAAUAACACUGUUAUCUUUUGGAUCUGUUUCAUACUUUCUAUCUGAUCCAUCAAUUAAAAUUGAAGUUGGUUCAAUUUGAAGGAAAUAAGAGAAAAAAUCAAUGUUUCUUGCCUUGAAUUUCUCUGCAAGAUCAGUAGCCUGCACCUGUCUAACAUGGCAUUUCCAGCCUUGUCACAGUCAAGGAAAACUCCAAAAAGAUUUACUUUGCUAGUGUCAAGUGACAUACAUUUAUCCUAGUCCUAGGUAGUUAUUAAGAAUUACCUUUGGUUAGCACAAUAUUUUACUGAUUCAAUUUCCCGUUCUUGGAACCGGCCUGUGUUUGUACUUUCCGUGCUUCUGACAUCUGGGAACCUUGUAAGAGUUUUUUCUUAUUAGUCUGGAAUUUAAUUUGAUCUGCAAUUGAUUUAUGAUAGACCCAGCAAUUUUGAAAGUUAUCCGGAUUCUGGGAGUUGUUGAUGCCCUAGUAUUCAAUUUAAAGGACAUAUCAAAGAUAUUUACAUUGUCCCUUUCUUUCCGAGGUCUGCUGUUAAAAUCACCUUCUGUGAACUGUUUUUUUUUUAAAUUGGUUUUGUCAAUAUUGAUGUCAGGUUUGGGUUUUGUUGGUGGAUUUACAUGGUGAAAGGUUUACUAGUGGUUCUAUAUGGAAAACACAGACCCUCUCUGUUUAUUUAAGGCUGCUGUUGACUGACUCAGGUGUAUGAUUCUCAUUGUUGCGUCAAAAGAUGAUGCAUUAAUCCCUAAUGAAACUAGAUUACUUUUAGUUACUUGUUUCCCCUGAAAUUGCAGCUAUUUUAGCUGUAAGUCUUGCCUAAACAAUAUAUCUGACACUAUAAUUACCAAUAUCUACUUAUUGCUAUUAUUUACUCAUAAUCAUAGUAACAAUGGAUAAUCUUCCUGCUUCAUUGUAGUCCUUUCAUUUCUAUCGAAAUAGGCUUUGCAUUUUCUUCUGGAGUUAAUAUGAUGCUUCUUGCAGAUACAUUUCCCAAUUUUAGCCCUUUCAUAGUUUGUGUACUGGAGAAGUGCUUGAGGUUACUUAGCUCUGAAACUGGUUCUUUUACAUUGCCCGAGAAGUCAAUGAUAUCAUUGUAUGUUUCUACCACAUUAAAGUAUCUCCUGGAAACUCAGGUAAGCAGUUCAUCUUUAAUUGUUUAUGGUACUCAGAUGUGAUUAUGUUGUUAUACACUGUUUAAAGCAGACAACUCAGGUUCUUCUAUACCUGGCUGUAAGUACUUGAUUGAUUUUUUUGCUAGGUUGAAGGUGGACUUUUGUGUUCCCUGACGCAGCUUUUGAUAUCAGAGAGACUUAAAGGUUGUUGCGAUAUGAUUGGAUUCUGCCCUUGUGAAUGGAUGCCGAUGAAUAGUUUGUUAUAUUUUGCAAGGAAUACCGUGCAGCAACAAAUUUAUAGCAGUUUUAUGUCUGAAGAGAAAGCUACUGGUCUUGGUGGUUCAUUUUCUGAGACACUUUCUGAAGUUAAUAGGAUUUUAAGGACUAAGGAUCAUUGUGGGUUGCUUGGAGUUACUAUGGGGUUUUCUUUUUCAAUGAUAUGCACCACAGCUGAUCAGAUAUUGCAGAAUUUCCCAUCGACCAUCUCUACUUCUACUAAAUUGCUUGGGGUUCCUUUCUCAAUUUUGUUGUUGAGAUUCUUUCUCGAACCAAGUCAUUUUGCUGAAGUUUUCAAGUUAUGGCCUAAAAUAUGCUUUGCUGGAGUUGACAAAGUUAUAAGUGGAGUUCAUGAUGGAGAAGGGCAGACAAUAGCUAAUGAGCUUGAUGAUUCACCAGAUUCUGCUUCUAUUGCAUUCUCUUUUUUAGUAAAGAAUGCUCCUUUUCAUGUGCUCUUUCCAGCUAUUUUUUUCACUGAUGGAUUGCAUUUGCUUGGUCACUCAAAAGUGCAGAAUUUGCUUCUGGAUAAAUUCACUGAGAGUACACCUGACUUCUCUGUCUCUUCUCUCUGCCGUCUUCUCUUUUGCUUGCUUCAAGCGCGAUUGGCCUAUAGAAUCAAACCAUCUGAUGAACUUGAAAAACUUUGUGAAUCAUCUUGUUUUCUUGCAAAGCACAUAGUAAAACAAUCAUUUGUUGAAAAAUUUGGUCCUGAUUGCUCCCCGCGUGUUUUGCCUCCUUUAUCAUCUGGUCAUAUUCGAGAAGUGGCUGAAAUAAUUCUUGGCCACCCUUUACUCACUGCAUUGCUGGAAUGGCCUUUGCAUACCGAUAAUGAUGUUGGUGACAUGAUUUUUAUGAAACCUCCAGAAACCUUUCUUCAGUAUGCUGAACGGGGUGUUCGUAAAAUAGAUCAUCAUAUUUUGCAGUUGUUAAGAAGAACCACAUCUGAGCUUUUGGUUCAUGUAUUUAGUAAAUGUAGAUCACCAUCUGUGGUUGAUCAUUCUACUGAACGGAUUGCAAAGGCUUUCAAGGCUCUGGUGCAGAAGCUAUUUUUGACAUUUAAGGCGAGGUUCACAGAUUCCAGAAAGACAGAUGAUUUGAUGCCUCUAAUUCCUACAUUGUAUGCUUUGCAUAGUCUGAGUGAAUUCAUAUGUCCCUUUGAGUUGCUCAAUUUGGUGCACUGGUUGUUCUCCAGAAUUGAUCUAAAUGAUACUGCAGUUUCCAUUUCUUGUCAAAGAUGUGGUUUGUCUGUUGGAUUACAAAUUGCUUCAUGGGCUUUUGAUUCUCUUUCUUUAUAUAUGUUAGAGCCACAUGCAAAGAGGACAUUAUUCAAUUUCUUUAUGGGUACUGGAAACAGAAGUUUUGAAAUUACCCUUUUUGAGAGAAUUUUUAACAGCAUAUUUGAGAUUGCCACUCACACUCAACUAGAAGUUGCUGAUAUAUGUUUAUUCAAAGCUGUUAAGAUCAUCAAAAUGCAUAAAUGUAUGGAGAAGACCAGCUUACCUUUUGUUAUGGCUACUUCAAGACUUCUACCCAGUGUUCCUGUGAACUUUAUUUCUUAUUGCUUGGACAAGACAACCAAGACUAAGUGUGACUUCUUGUUUCUUCUGUCUGAGAUGAGCUCCCUGCAUCUUUGUGUAUUUGGACAUUUGGUUUCUGGUAAAAUUAGUAAUAAUCAAGCUCUUAAGGUCAACAAGGAAGAAAACUGCAAUCGGCCUCAGUACUCUGAAGAGUUCUUGAUGCUUCUGCCAACUGUUCUGUUAUACUUGAGGUCAAAUUUUCUGAAAUUUGGGGGCCAAUUUGGCAAGCAUGUUGAAAACACUUCUUCUUUCUUUUGGAAGAUCCUUUUGCGUGGUUUCUCUAACUGGAAGAGUUUUGUUUCGGAAGAGAUAUUUGAGAUAAAACUUGUUGAGUGCUCAUCUUUAUGCAUGGAAGAUUUUUCUAACCUUUUCUCUUCCAGUCUUCUUGGAAAAGCAGUACUGCUGAUGCGUCAUUACCUUGCUGUGAGUGGACACUUGGUGAAAAUGAAAAGGCUAUUGAGUACAUUUGAUUCUGUUUGCCCACAUGCGAGUGCACAGAAUGAUCUUCUGGACUGCGAUGCUAGAGAAAUUGGUGUUUGUUCUCUUGAGUUGUCUUUGAACUUUGUGAACAAAAUUAUUGCAAAGAUAUGCCUCUGUUGGAUGUUGUUAUUUCCAGAGCAUAAUAAUCUUCAAUCUGUAGUGAAAGAUGGAAAGAAAAAAGGAAUUGAAUCAGAAGUUAGCAUUUUGAGAAUCCGAUUUUUAAGUAUGCUGGUCCAUUCAUGGCAACGUCUUGUGGAGAAUUUUCAUACAUGCAGGCAAGGAGAGAACAUAAGGUCGUCAUUGUUUAGAUUCUUGGAGAUCUUCAUUGCUAAGAAUAUAGUAGCAUUGGUAAGAGAAAUGCAUGAUUGCCUGGUUGAAUUGCAUUCGCUUCCUUUCUUAGACCAACUUGCCAAAUAUUCUCUUCUUCAUAGGUUUGAUGACCCUACCACAAUUAGGAUGCUUAGAAUUGUUCUUAUUUCACUAUCUGAGGGAAAGUUCUUGUGCAUUUCAAUUCUCCAGCUGUUACUUGCUCACUCUCAAUUUGCUCCAACCAUUCUAUUUGCCCAUUCAUCAACUGUUUGUACUCAAUUUGGUAUGAGUUUUGCUCCGGCACCCAGCAUUAUGAGGUUAUUUACUGUUCUUCAUACUGAAGAAAACACGGUUGAUGGAAAAAAGGAUGCUCAUGAAACUGGGCCUCACAUGAAGAAGUUGGAACUGAUUAAGUUGCUCAGAGUACUAAUACAUAUCUUGGGUCAGCAACAUUAUCUUGAUUCUGAAACAUCCAAUGGCUUAAAUUUGAAGGAAUUGGUUUUGGUGCUUUUGUCUUCUUAUGGAGCAACCAUGGAUGAGAUUGAUUUGGAAAUGUAUAGCCUCAUGAAUGAAAUUGAGGCUAUUGAUAAAUCAGUCUCUGAAGGUAUUGCUGAAAUGGAUUUUCUAUGGGGCUCUGCUUCUCUGAAGGUGAGACAAGAAAGGGAACAAAAGCAAAGUGUAUCUUCUUUGAGUAACUCAUAUGAUAAUGAAGUAGUUGGAGAGAGACGAAGGAUUCAAUUUAGAGAAAAUCUUCCCAUUGACACCAAAUUAUGUGCAAUGACAGUCCUUUGUUUUCCUCAUGAUAGAUUUGCUGAUGGGAGCUUGAGCAAGCUCCAAACAAAUGAUUCUGAUGAGGUAUAUUGUGAAUUAGACCACUGUAUACCUAGCAUAUUACUGUUUUGAUGGAUAGGUUAGCCGUACGUCUGUAUGAAUAUUAUAUUUGUCGUUUCUUUGGUCUUUUUUUCCCUCCUCUUUUUUUUUGUAUGUGACCUUGGCAGGUUUGGGGGGGGGGGGGCUGCAGAGAUUAGUGGUGGGUCUUUUGUGAAUCUGAUUAUAAUUUCUGUGCAGGGCUACAAUGCAAAUUCUAAGAAGGUGCAACUUUAUGAUCCAGUUUUCAUCUUGCGUUUUUCAAUUCACAGUCUUGCAAUGGAGUAUAUUGAGCCCCUGGAGUUUGCUAGUUUGGGUUUGCUUGCAAUUACAUUUAUCAGUUUGUCUUCUCCUGAUGCUGAUACAAGGAAAUUGGGCUAUGAGGCUGUUGUGAGAUUUAAGAGUGCUGUGGAGGUAGAAGUAGUUUUGGUUUCGUUAUUGUUUUCGUCUGUAAUUGUUUGCAUAUUGGAAGGCCCAUAGAAUUAAGGCAUUCUAUUCAUGAGCCAAUUAUUGGUAUCAUUGUGUGUUUAUGUUGUUUUGAAUUUUGGUACGAGUCAUUAAACCAAGUAGAGGAAUACAUACAGUGACUAAGAAGCAAUCAUUUUCUUUGGCCUCCAGAAAUGCCUGAAAAGCUUGUGUUAGGUAUAGUAGUUUGAAUGAUAUUCUUUAUCCUUGGAAUAAUUUAAACUGUUGGAUACAGAAAUGUCGCAAGAGGAAGGAUGUGAUGCGACUCCGGCUCUUAGUAUCAUACUUGCAAAAUGGUAUAGAAGAAGAGUGUCAGAGGAUUCCUUCCAUAACUGCUGUAUUCAUUGCGGAAGCUUCUUUUGUUCUGUUAGAUUCUUCCCAUGAUCAUUAUUCAGCUAUAAGUAAAUGCCUGAUGCAGUCAUCAGGUGCUAAUAUGAAGGUAUCACUUCUAUUGCAGAGCUUUUCCAUGUUAUUUUGUCUAUAUCUGUUAUAUUGCAUACCUUAGGACUAGAGUUGUACAAAUAAAUUGAGCAAUUCAAAUGCUUUUGAUUUGAUAUCUUUUCAACCUCUGUUGAGGGUUCCUCAUUUUUAUUUUCUUUGGGUGAAAGGGUGUACCAUUAUUCCAAGAAUUCUUCUGGAGUAGCUCUGUUACUUUUAAGUCGGAAAGGUUGUGGAUGCUUCAGCUUUUAAACACAUCUCUGACUAUGGAUGAUGAUGCUCAAAUACUUGUCAGAAAUUCCAUUUAUGAGAUCCUUUUAAAUUUUUAUGCCUCUCCUCUUUCCGAUGACGAGUCAAAGGAACUGAUCGUUGAGGUAAUCAAUGUUAAUCUUUUCUCAUAAGCUGCUUCUUUCUUUGUUUUUUUUUUUUGGGGGGGGUGUGUUUGGUGGUGGGAGGGUGUGGUUUGGAUAAGAUAGGGUUGCUCCUGAUAAAUGUUUACCUUCUUUUACUACCCAGCCUAUUCUCUCGUCAAAAGCUGAAAAUAAUUGAUAGGCCAUUGUCGAUUAGUUCUUAUGUGGUAAGUUCUGUGUGACCUUUAUAAUGCUUUAUCAUGUUUUACUAGUAUGAACAGUAAAUUGAUAAUAUCUCUGCCCCGUGAUGUCACUGCAUAUACUUCUAAUCGUUAAAGAUUAAAGAAAGUGGAAUUGGAAAAAACAUAUUAUCUUUCCCUUGCUCUAUAUUUCUUUCUUCUUAAGCAUCUGUUGCCAAGUAUUCCAUACCUCACAAGGCCAAUGAUUAUCCUGCCAAUGAUUAUCCUACAAUGAAAUUCCCUUCUCUGCUUCUUCAGAGAAAAGGAAGAAUAUAGUUCUCAAAUUUGCUUAUCUGUUUAUGGGAAAUAAAAUUAAGCUCGAGGAACACAGCUUUAAUGUCUUUAUCCUUUCUUUACUCUCCUUUUCCUCUUCCUCUCUUUUUGCUCAGCAGCAGCCCUUAAAUUUGCACUGCAUUAGCAUCUUAUAUACUUAUAUAAUUAGACCACAAGAAGAUGAAGUUUGAUUUGAUUCUGUCGACAUUCAUCUGUCUUUAACAUUGCUUAUAGAAGAUGACCAUCACGAAAACUAGUCAGUGUGCCUUAGCUGCUAGUUAUAUUAUAACUCUGGGCAUUUUGAUCUAGGAGAAAUUUUCAUGGCCUUCAGUAGGCUACUUAUCACUGAGUUGAUACUUUCUCUUUAGAGAACUAUCAAUUUAGCUAAAUUUUAUUUUUUUAUUCUGCAGAUGGUGAAAAAGUCCGUCAAAAUAAAUAAGCUUGCAUGGCAUUUGGUUGUACGCUGUGGCAUAAUUUCUUGGCUGUCUUCUCAUGUUGCAUCUUUUUACGGGAUUCUACUCAGGGACCAGAGAAGUUUUUCAUUUGCUAAGUUAGCUAUGGUUCUGGAGGUAUAAUCAUUUUUUCUUAUACUUUCUUCUUUACAAACUAUUUUGCUAAGUAUACUCCAAAAGAUGAAUAAGUCUUGGAAAACUUUGGCAUCAUGUCUUUUAUUGUUUUCUCUGGGAUGGGAACCUAAUUUGUUCUCUUUCUUUUUGGGUUAAUGGUGGUGUGUAGCUUGCUUCGGACAUCAUUGUCUUCUGUUUUCUUCCAAACUCUAGGCUUUUAACAGAAGCUGGCUCCUAGCUCCUUCCAGCAUUUUAUGAGUUCCUUUCCUAUCAUAAAAGAAAUGACCUUAAUCAUUUAUAACUAUGAACACGGUUUUAGAAAGCAUGUUCUGUUAAAAUAUAUGUUUUUGCUUUUGAAAAUCAAAUAUCAACCUCCAGAGAUGGGAUCCGCAUUAGAAUUUCACAUUGUGGAAUAAGAUGAUUACAAAUGGGCUUGUAUAUGUUAUUUGAAUUUCUUUUAAUCUCUCUUUAUAAUUGAAGUCAUGGCUUUCAAUGCAAAUCAUUUUCCCUCUUAUGUAGGGGUGUGUCUUUUUUUCAGGUAGCCAAUGAUGUUAUUAUGUCUAGAAAUACUAGUGAGUGGUUGCAAAAAUAUGCCCUAGAGCAGCUUUCUGAACUUGCAGCUCAUCUGUACAGAAUCUUAGUUGGUUGUUCUAAACAUAUACAAGAGAAAACCAGAAUCAUUGAUUUGAUUCUAGAACUAUUGAUGUCAACCCUGAAGAUCUCACAGAAAAGAAAAGUAUAUCAGCCGCAUUUUACAAUAUCUUUUGAAGGUUUAUACCAUUUGUACGAAGCUGUUGAUGUCUGUUGCAGUGGGACCUUCAGUUCUACUGCUGAGAUUGGACUGAAAGCUGUCCUUAUGAGUACUCCUCCAGUUUCUAUACUUCACAUGGUAUAUCUCUCUCUCUCUCUCUAUGUGUGUGUGUGUGCGCGCGUGUGGGCACGCAUGCAUGUGCAUGUGCAUGUGCAUGUUUGCAAUAAUUUUGCAUGGCAAUUAUUCUGUUAAACUCGAUGGUCCUCAUGAAAGUUAUCAAGAAAACCUAUAAGCAUCAUCUUAUAAGAUUGUUAUGUUCUUCACCUCUUCAAACAUUGUUCAUAUAUAUAUAUUUGUGCAGAAUGGACAUCGUGAACUUUGAUAUAAUACACUUUAGAAACCCUUAACUUUUACUUUGUGAACCAAUAGUUUGGUUUCUAUCAAUUUUUUUUAAUGAAAGAUCUUUAAUUUUGCAAUAAGUAUGUCAAUCUCCAGCUAUUAUAGUUAAAAGCUUGUUGAACUGACUGCUUCUACAUUCUAAUGCAUGGUAAUUUUGUAUGACAAAUUGACAUGUCUAACUUGGUAGCAAAUUUUGCUUUCGGAUAAGCAGCUAUUGAUGCACUAUGGUGUAUCUGAGCCACAAAACAAAUGAUCAAUGCAGCCAUCCACUUGUAAACUGACCACAGCUAAAAGCAUUUUGGAAACAGAGAAUACAUUUCUGUCUAAUACCUUUCACAUAUCCUCUUUCUCAAAUUACCAAAUCCUGUUGACCCGCUGUGCAAUUUCGAAUUGGUGAAUUGCCAAUGUCAAAAUUUACUGUUGAAAGCAUAUAAUUUUGGAUUGUUAAGAGCGUCUGUUUGUUGCUGAGCCUACCUGAGAUGUGUGAGUUCUUUGCCUAAACGAUUGUUGGCUACUUUCUUCUGUUAUUAUUUUUCAACAGUUUGCUGGAGCACUUAAAUUUGGGUAACUGCUUUUAGUAUCUGUUAAAUGUCUUUUUUAAAUGGUUUUCCUACUCUUAUAGCCAGAUGGAAUAGCUGGUAUAAAUCGCACAAGUAGUGGCUUAAACUAAGAUUUUUUUUUUUGGGCACAGUGAAACAGUCCAUUGUAUAUCUUGGGCAAUUUAAGAAUUCCUCCCACAUUUCCAAGAAAUUGUUGGAUUUUGAAUCAGACUUUUGUUCUGCUGUUGAAGCCUUCUGAAGUUGAAUUUCUUGAAAAUGAAUCCUAAAGUGUGAAGCUAUUGCAGGUCCCCUUAGAAUUUUGAGAAUGAUGUCAUGCAAUUGUAUUGCGCUAGAGUAAUUGCAUAUCCUUUGCUAUUGUGGUAGAUAAAUUUGAAUAUCAACAUCUGUUGUCAAAUCAUGCAUAUGUACGGAAGUGUCAAUGUUUUUGACUGUGACAUGAUCUCUAAGUGGCUGAUUAUAUCUAGAUUGUCUGAUGUGAAAAAUUGUUUGGGCCCCUUAAAAUUUUGAGAAUGAUGUGAUGCAAUUGUAUUGUAGUAGACAAAUUGCAUAUCCUUUGCUAUUGUGGUGGUUGAAUUUGAACACCAGCUUCUUUUGUCAAACCAUGCACAUGUACAGAAAUGUCAAUGUUUUUUGACUAUGACAUGGUCUGUAAGUGGCUGAGAUUGUGUAAAAAUUCUGAUGUAAAAAGUUGAUUGAGUUCAUUGUACAGAAUUGGAAUUUCCCAUGUAUGGAUUUUCCACAUGCACAUGUAUGCAUUGAUUUACUAGGUCAAUUAUUUCAAGUCCUUAUAGUAUAUCAUGAGACUGUGAUUGGCAUUACUAGCUAGCUGGUGAUGAUUGAGAAAGAUGAGCAAUGGCACUUCACAAGUGCUUUACCUCAUGAAACUCUAUAUGUAGUGAACAAGACAUAAGAGUUCAACCAUCAACUUCUCAUAUUUGUGAUUAGACCCUGCUUAUCUUUUUCUAUUCCUUAAGAUGACCUAUUACUUCGAUGUGCUUGUAGGAUAAAAAUAAGCUUUUGAAGUUUGUUAGCUGGGCAAUAUCAACUGCUGUGCAGUCAAACUUGAUGGAGGUGCCUGAAUCUGAAGCAAUGUAUAGCAAUGCCUUGAGAUUUUCAGAACAAUCUGAAGAGGAUCUUGUAUCAAAGCUUUUAAGAUGGCUGACUGCCUCAGUGAUUCUUGGAAGGCUUUCAUGGAAAUUGAGUGAUUUGAAUUCCACUAGUUCUUCUGAAAUAUUAAAGCUUGAUAAUCUGCAUUGUAUCAUGGACUAUUGUGUGAAGGAAUGUGGAGAAAACCAGGAGAAUUUUGGCAGCAAAGAGAUACUAGCUGUAUCAAUUUUUACCUACAGCAGCUUGCAGGCAUAAAGUGGAAUUUUCUUCCAUCAGUUGUUGCUGCACUUUCUCUCCUGUUAUUUUCUGGUCCCUCCUCAUCAGGUUUAGUCUAUUCUUGCAUGAAUUAGUAUUAGACAGUUUUGCGUCUAUAAAUUUCUAUCUUAUAACGUUGGUUGUUUUUCCCAUUGACAUGACAUCUGCUUGUAUAUAUAAUUAAAAGUUUAGAGGAACAAAACCUUGCUUCUUGCCUGCUAGUGUCUUUAAGGAGGAAUGUUAAUGUAUUGAUUUCCAGUGCUUUUGCUUGAACCUGCGGUCUCAGGAAUUGUUUUCCUUUCCAUGCUUUAGUUCCAUGUAAAGUGGGCAUUUUGCUGACAUGAAAUGGGAUUUUUAUUUAUGUGGGAAAACAAGUCCUGGGAUUAAACUUUCCUGCUUUUGGUGGUACCGGGGUUCUGACUCUUACUACCUCUCAUGUGACCUGGUUCAGUCAAAAAGAAAAAUUUUUUUUGGAAAGUUGCUGCUGACGCUUAAUACCUUUCUUGUGACCUGGUUCAGUCGAUUAAAUAAAUAUUCAGCUUAGUGCAAUUACAAUGCUGGAAGUUCCUAACAUGUGUAAAGUCCAAUUUGGAUGCUAUAUCCUGAAGCUCUUUCAUCAAGUUCUUUAACUUAGAAAUUUGCUUGCGAAUGAACUGUGAUUUGAGGUCCUACAUUUAGGGAUUUGCAGCCCAAUUUACUGUGAAGGCUCUCAAAAUUACCCAAUUUUAAGUGGUCGUUUUUCUAGCCUGGCACUACAAGUUGAUAAUAGUUCUAAGUCUUUGCUUUUUGUCGUGUUGUUUGUCAGAUUCAGACUCUCGACAUAGCGAUGGUAGUCCUUGGGUAUCACUCUGCCAGAAGAUACACAGCCCAGCUGAAGCUAAUCCUUCGUGGAGAUGGUAACAUUGUUUUAUUCUCUUACAUUUCCUCUCACUUUUGCCCAAUUCUGCAACCUACAGAAUAGCAGAUAUUCAUUUGGUUGUGCUGCUUUUUCCAUCAUCAAUCUGCUUGUACAGGUCAUACUACCAGCCUUGGAGAGGCAAUAGUAGUCCAUUCUCCAAUAUUCUACCAAAUGUAUUGCAGUAAAAUAAUCAAUACUUUUAUUAUGAUCAUGAGAAAAAGGUAGUUCAACUGCUUUGGGAAAUCCUACUAUUAUAUGUUUGUGGUCAUGUAUAUUACAGUAUAUUUUGAUAUAUGUCCGUCUUUGUUCAAUAGUGCAGUUUAAUGUGCACACAAUUUUUCAUCACUUUGAUUAGCAAACUGAAGAGAGGAGAAAAGUAGUGAAUCAAGGUAUAACUGAAACAAAGCAUGGAAAGAUGGGGAAGGUAAGGCAUAUGUGGAUAGAAACGAGAAGGCAGCAUGGGAAUUUCCAUCUUGUUAGAUGUAACAGGAAAACCUAGAGCAUUUAUAAUAAGCUUCAAAGCCCUGAGAGCAGUUACAAGAUUGCCUCUUCCUCCCAUUUGUCUGCUUUUAUCUACGUUUACGACAAAUAUUGCCGAAACAACCAGGAGAAACCUAAAAAUUCAUAGAGUCAAAAGGAUGUAGGAGUGGAGAGAACAUGGUGCGCUCAUAAAUUUCACAUCCCAUGGGAAGAAGACAAGUUUGCCGACAUAAGACAAGCCUAGGCAUUUGGAUCACAAACUACAUACCAUAAGGAGGCUCCUCAGCAAUUAUUACGUCAGUGUCAAUGUUGGCAUGGAUUAUAUGACCAUCAGUACUGCGACGUACGGUCCCUUUUAUGCCCAUUAAGCAAUGUUCCUUCAUUGUGGCAACAAAGCAGCACAGGAUCAGCAAAACAAGACGUGUAUUAGGAAAAAUAAAAAAAUAAAUAAAAAAUAAAAAGAGCAAAAUAUGGGCAUUUGCGAUUGCACUCCACAACGGGAUAUUUGCUUUCAGAGAAGUAAUAUAGAGCAUACAGAGUUGCUCACGAACCUUUGAGCGCUGGAAUAAAGUAUGCGAAUCAUGGCGCAGUCCAGGAGUUGCAUUUGUUUUGUUGUCUUCACCCAACAUAUAUCUUCACACCUUCUAAAUCCCCACUGCAUGGAGUUUAUAAUGAAAUAAUAUGUGGAAAAAAGUUAAACUCUUCAAAUGAUCUUAAACUACCGCCAAACCAAAAAAAAAAGUAAAAAAAAAAUGAAAGGCCAAGGAUGAUCUAAAUACAAUAUCGAACACCAAUACAAAGAUGAGGCAGCUGCUAACCACACACUGUUUCUCUCAAACAUCUCACUAUACCUUCUUCAAACACUGUCGACCUUGCUCAAGCCCAACACCAUCACCAACCAAAGAAAAAUAAAAGAAGGUGUAUCUGCUAUUGCCUGAAAGUGAAGAAAGCCAAUCACUUAAAUCAUCAAGUUCCAGAAAGCAUUAAGCUAAACUGCAGAGUAGAGAUACUCCAGGAUCAGAAAUACAUUACUAGGAAGUGCUUUUGAAUGUCAGCAGAAGCAACCAACAAUGAUGACUAAAAUUUUGAAGUAUUAAGCCCAAUUAUAAGAAUUCUUAACUAUAGAAACAUAAAUACCAACAUGCAUAAUUUACUAGCAUGUAGCAAAUAACCUUUGUGUGCAUAUAUGGGUCUAUCACUGACCGUACAUCACCCGACCAGCCAGUUUUAAUUCAAAUUAUGAGCAGAUAGAAUCAUAAUUUUUUCCAGGCUUGUGGAAAUAAAAAGUCUAGCACAAAGAUCAUACCUAAGUAAAACAAACAACCUCCUUUUCUAUUUCUAUAUAUAUAUAUUAUAUAUAUAUUUAUAUAUAUUCUUGGUGAUAAAUAAUGCAGUCAGUACCUCAAUUUUCAAAUUCAUUAUUUCUUCAAAUGUCCAAUAUUCCAUAUGAUCAGUAACACCAGGAGCUCGAUGUACAUAUUCCUCCCAAGGAGGGUCCACAAGAAUGACAUCAAACUUUGUACCGAGGAGCUCUGGAGAAAGCACCUGUUCAUGCAGGUCGCACUUCAGAUAAAGAGGUGGGGAAUUCGAUUUGGCAACAAUCUCAUCCUUCUUUUGUAUAAGCUCCCGAAGUUUUGGAUAGUCCUCCACAACACUAGUGAGCUCUAACUCCCUGAUAAAGUUCUGUGGACGCAUACCAGUGUCGACAAAGUUUUGGGAGUAAUCAUUCUGCUCUCCUCGAAGGAGCUUUGCCAGGGGGUCCAUUAGUUCUAGGAGGAACCCAACCUCCAGGGGAUUUUUCCUGUGAUUGUCCACGCCCCAUAGGUGCAAUAGGGUUAAAGUUUGGUGCAGGUAUAUUUGGUGGUGCUCCUCUUAUAGGACCAGGUUGGCUGAAAUACAUAGGUGGAUUUGGUGGAGUCCCCAUAUUUGCGGGAAACCUAGGCGCAG
rnacentral:lncRNA from 1 species